rnacentral:rRNA from 1 species
CAAAAGGAGAAGGAACAAAAACCAAUAGGCAUUGCCCCAGUAACGGCGAGUGAAGCGGCAACAGCUCAAAUUUGAAAUCUGGCUCUCUUUGGGGGUCCGAGUUGUAAUUUGCAGAGGGUGCUUUGGCGUCGGCAGCGGUCUAAGUUCCUUGGAACAGGACAUCACAGAGGGUGAGAAUCCCGUACGUGGUCGCCUGCCUUCGCCGUGUAAAGCCCCUUCGACGAGUCGAGUUGUUUGGGAAUGCAGCUCUAAAUGGGAGGUAAAUUUCUUCUAAAGCUAAAUACUGGCCAGAGACCGAUAGCGCACAAGUAGAGUGAUCGAAAGAUGAAAAGCACUUUGGAAAGAGAGUCAAACAGCACGUGAAAUUGUUGAAAGGGAAGCGCUUGCAGCCAGACUUGCCCGCAGUUGCUCACCCGGGUCCGCCCGGGGCACUCUUCUGCGGGCAGGCCAGCAUCAGUUUGGGCGACCGGAUAAAGGCCUCUGUCAUGUAUCUUCCUUCGGGAUGACCUUAUAGGGGAGGCGUAAUGCGGCCAGCCCGGACUGAGGUCCGCGCAUCUGCUAGGAUGCUGGCGUAAUGGCUGUAAGCGGCCCGUCUUGAAACACGGACCAAGGAGUCUAACAUCUAUGCGAGUGUUUGGGUGUCAAGCCCGGGCGCGUAAUGAAAGUGAACGGAGGUGGGAACCCUCUCCGGGGGGUGCACCAUCGACCGAUCCUGAUGUCUUCGGAUGGAUUUGAGUAAGAGCAUAGCUGUUGGGACCCGAAAGAUGGUGAACUAUGCUUGAAUAGGGUGAAGCCAGAGGAAACUCUGGUGGAGGCUCGCAGCGGUUCUGACGUGCAAAUCGAUCGUCAAAUUUGGGCAUAGGGGCGAAAGACUAAUCGAACAU